GUCUUCGGCCACGCCGCCCUGAACACGCCCCAAUCCGUCUGAUCUCGGACGCUAAGCAGGGUCGGGCCUGGUUAGUACUUGGAUGGGAGACCACCUAGGAAGAUCAGGUGCUGUAGGCG
rnacentral:rRNA from 1 species